CGGAAGCACUCGUGGGUGGAGUAGCUCUCAAUCCUCCGUCUCCCAUGGAAGUGGAACUGGUCCAAAAGAGGGCAGCAUGAGAUGGGCUUUAAAAGAUGAGACACUUCCAAGGGAGGUGCUGCUCACCACAGGGAAUAAAGGAAGGCUGGGUAAAGGGAGGGUUGGGUGUAGGUGCGCACAUCACAAUGCCAGCAGCUCCACUUACCAAGCCUUUCCUAAGCAUCAGGUGCGAGAUGCGCAUGGCCUUGCCUAAUGUGCACUACUGACCCACAAGGCAGGUGUAACUAUUACUGUCCGGACAUCCAGAGGAAGAAAUGGAAAUGCAGAGGUAUCAUGUAUCUAACUCAAACCUGUGCCAGCCUGGUCGACUCUUCAUAGGCCCAUUCGGAGGGAGGCUGGUUAAGGUAGGCAGGGAUUGCCUUUCAGUGAAGAUGACAUCCCAUCUCCUUCCUCCUCGUCUAUGAGACUCGGGCUUCCCCCGCCCUCAUUUUCCCACCCAGAGCUCAUGGCUAGCCCUCUGGGGCAGGAGAACACACUGCUCAAGCCUUGGACUCAGCCGGCUCCACGUGAUGAGUGAGUGCAGCAGAUGCUGUGAGAUGCAAAAGCCUAAUUUUGCUGCAAACAUAUUGUUUCUGAAGGAAAGGCUUAUAUCAAGAGGCUAUAAAACUGCACCCGUGAUAAAAGGCUACUGACAAAGCUGUCUAGUGAUGGGGGUGGGAGAGCAGCUGUGCCCGCAACACAGUGGCCAUUGAAGAAACCGCCUUGGCUUUCCUCCCUCCGAAUUUGCCGUUUCAUCUGAGGCAUGCCUGUGAAGAAGUCAGCACCGCUGAAGACCAGUGUUCAUCACUUCAUGCUUCCUUACUGUGGAUGCAACGUGACCACCUGUCCCACAUCCCUACAGCUGUACCUUCACCACCGUCAUGGGCUGUAACCUCAAACUGCUUGGAUCCCAGACUGCAGGAAAAGGAGAAAGUCGGAAGAGAACUGAUUCUCAGUGCUCUCUACUUCCUGGACACAGAUGUGAUGUCACUAUCUCAACUUCCUGCCGACAUCCACCAUGACGGACUGCACCUGCAAACUUCGAGCCAACGUAAUCUUCCUCCCUUUUGCUUUUAUCUUGAUAUUUCACCCAGGUGGUGAGAAAGGGACUAAGACAGAGAGGGAGGGAGUCAGGUCACAGAGCCCUAGUCAUUUGAAGACAACCAGACAUAACAGGCUUCAGCAUAGGCCCGGGACAAAGGGAAUCAGAUGGGUAGGUAGUCCCAAAGGCUCCCAGCUCCCAGAAUCACAGACUGGGAGAAGACUGAAUGAAGUAUAGCAUUCACAAUUGGUCAGGUCAACAUCUAAAACACACAGGCCAGAGGGUUCUCUAUUUGCUCAACAAGAGAGCCACCAUUGGGCAGCUGGUUCAAAAUGGCAUGGUGAUCCAGGUGUUUCUGGGAGCUUAGGUUCAUCAUGACUCUCUCUGAGGGGGUUUGGAAGGCUCCACUCAAGGCUCAUCUAGAGAUUCUCUAUACCCUGGGUCUGUCUAUGGAGGGAGACUUCUCUCUCAAGCUGCAAUACUGAGUUCACAUCUCAGACCUAGAGGCCAUGUCUACAAGAAAAGGGAGGAGCACGAAGCAACGGGAGCUACUCAAGCCGGGUUAAGACACAUCUGUGCUGACAAGGGGACUCCAUGGGCAGGCAGGUCACGGCCCCUGAAGAGGGAACACAUGACAGAGCAGGGGACAGACCUAGAAGCAUCAGGUCCAUUUGUCAUUUUUACUCAAUUGUUUUUCAUCUGAGAUGGGAAGAGAAAAUGGAAUUUCCAUUUGAGGAUCCGCCCUCGGUUAAUUGUUAUUUGUAGAACACAAGUAGCAGUCUCAUUGUUCUCAAGCCCACACCAUAAAAGCCAUCCAGGGAAUGCAGGCAAACAGAAGAAACAAGGACUUAUUAAAUGCAUAAUUAAUGUGCAUUAAGAUUAGCACACAUGAAUAGCAAUCAGCUGGGACGCUACAGAGCAUGAACCCUGAACGUUAUCAAUUGAUUAAACUUGUUAUCUGCUGUGGCUUGGGAACAAAUUAGCAAGCCUCCUAGGGCGGGACAGGGAAGGGGACUGGAAGCCUGGGGUGGUGAAGGGGGUGGCUGCUUGGGGAACCUAAAGCCAGCAAAGGUGCUGAGUGUUUUCACGAGCCAUUCUUCAAGAAAAACCACAGCUCCAUUUAGGGUAAAGCGAGCCACACUCUUGCCAAGGUCAUCUCUGAACUAGGGGGAACCACCCAUGGGGGACUCUGAAAUGUCUGCUCACUGACACUAUUAUAGUGUUGUAACAAAGUGAUGGGAGUGGCCUGUAAGGUUGGUCUUCUGUGUGGCUUCUCUAGGGACCAUCAGGUCUGAUAUGUAUCUCAUGACCCCACCCACCACAGCCUUCCCCAGGGAGGAUCACCAGCAGAGAGGUGAUGGGGAAGGAUCUGUCAGAAAAGGACACCCUGACACAGACUCCCCCACCUCCCAGAGGCAGAUCAGCGCCGUGAGACGAGAGGGAGCCAUCUGGGACCCAGACAGUGCCCUUGAUCUUCCCUUUUGUGUAGGGUGCUCAUGGUGUCCCCUCUAAGCCCCUUGUAAUGGUUGAUCUUGUCAACUUGAUGAGAUUUAGAGUCACCAUGGAAACAAACCUCUGGGCGUAUCUGUGACAUAUGUCACAAAACAUGUAAAUAGGUACAGAAGACUUGCCCUGAAUAUCAAUGGCACUAUUCCAUGCGCUGGGGUCCUGAACUGAAUAAAAAGGAGAAAGAUGGAUAGGCACCAAUCGUCACCUCCCUCUGCUUCCUGACUGUGGAGUGCAUGUGACCCCACCCACCACCCUGCCUUCCUCACCAUGAUGGGCUGUAUUCUUUAAGUUCUCAGCCCAAAUCAACCUUCCUCCUUUAACUUGCUUCUGACAAGCAAGGAGAAAAAUAACUAGCCUCCCCUCUAUGGGGACAGACAUGACUAACCUCCCCUCUACAGUGACAGGCAUGCUCCCACAUAGCUAAUGCCACCAGUGAUAAGGGAUGACUCUUUCCUGUUCCCAUUUGCUCUGUUUUGUUUCUCCCACAGUGGGGAUGGAACCAAAUCUUUGUGCAUGCCAGGCAAGAGCUCUAGCACCAAGUUAUAGCUCUAUUCCAAAAAGCAGUACUUCCAGCAGUCAAAAUGACUUUUUAACUGCCUCGUCUUCAAAGACAACAGAAAACAAAUAACAACAACACAUUCUUGCUCUCAAGGCUUUUGCCUUGACCGUGAUGACUUCCUAUGAUGAUCCAUCCACUCUAUACAAUGUUGAUUUGUUUCUUUUAAGACAGGGACUCUCAUUAUGUAGCUAUGGAUGUCCUAGAACCAGCUAUGCAGACCAGGCUAGCAUUGAACUACCAGAGAUCCACCUGCCUCCACCUCCUGUGAGCUGGGAUGAAGGGUUUGUGUCACUGCCGCCAUUUUCUGCAAUGUUGAAAUGGAUAUGUGAGUAAGCUUUGUUUCUUCUGAGAGACGGAAAGCUCGUUCGUUCCAAGUUUUAUAUGGGGUCCAAGUUGAAAUGGUAAUAGUGUGGCUACAUUAGAUGAAGUGUAUUUUGUAAAUAAAUUCCAUUUGCCUUUGGCCUCUUUUAUUUUUAAAGUUUAUACCCUAGGGAGUAUUUUAUAAUAAAUCACAUACAUAUGUGUGUGUGUGUAUAUAUAUAUAUGCAUAUCCACAUCUUUCCUAUAUAUGGCUAUCAGAGAGUUUAACAAUUCACAUUGUACUCUUCUAUAUGUUUUUUAAAGAUUUCUUCAUUUUAUUGCAUUGCAUGCGUGUUUUGCUCAUCUAUGGAUGUGUGCCAUAUGAAUAUCAGGUUCCCUUGGAGGUCUGAAGAGGGUGUCAGAUCCCAUCAGACUGGAGUUGUGAAUGAUUGUGAGCUGCUGGAGGGUUGAACCCAGGUCCUCUGCAAGAAUACAUGCUCUUAAGCCUUGAGCCAUCUCUCCGGCCUCCUGCGCUGCAUCCCCGAGACACAUGUGUGUGCCGGCCUCACUCUGCAGGUAUUCAGAGAGCACUGCAAAGGUUGCUCCCUCUCUUCUCGUGCAUCACCAGAAUAAGCAUCUUCAGGGCACACAUCUGGAUCAGAAGCAUAAUCGGUGCUUGGGAAACGAAAUGGCAAUAUGGGAAUAAAAUUGUGGCAACUAAUGAAAAAAAAAACCCUGCUCCUUUGAAACUGAUUAAAGUGUGAUAUGAUGAUUGGUUGCAAGACGAGAGAAUAAUAGUUCAGAUCCUAAGAACAUAUGUCACUGUUAUCAAGGAAAUACAGGCCUUAGCCUCCCUGGCAGCCAACGACCAGAAGAGAGACACAAUACAUAAAUUGCUUUCGCAGGAGAGGCAAAGCAUUCCUAGAAAAUAUAUUGUUCCAUAAAUGUCUUACAUCGUAGCAGUGGGUGACAAGCGGAGCGACGAUCCUAGCAAAGGCCUGAGAGUAAAUGUCACAGUGAUUUCCAUAAGACAGGAUUCCCAUCCUCAAAACCUGACUCAAAGGGCUUAGAUUCUCAGGCGGGCAUAAGAUGACGUGGACCCAUUGUAAUGUGUUGGCCUGGAGAAUGGGCAAAUGUCUAUUUGAAAGUAGGAAGAAGACCAGGAAGAGGAAUGGGAAGAGGAGGAGCAAGAGGAGGAGCAGCAGGAAGAGCAGGAGAAAGAAAGGGGAGAGGAGGAGCAGAAGGAGCAGGGGGCGGGGGCAGGAGCAAGAUAAGAAUUGGGAGGAGGAGUGGGAGGAGGAGAAGGAGUAGGAAUUGUAGGAGGAGGAGCAGGAGGAAGAAGAGUGGCAAAAGUAGGAAGAGGAGGAGGCAGAUCAGGAAGAGAAGCAGGAGGAGAGCUUUCUCAGUCUUGGAGCUGCCUUAGCCCAGCAUUGGACAGCAUGACUCAGCAUGUACCAAUUUUCCUGGACAAGCUGUCGGAACCCAUGUCUGGUCUCCGUUCAAGAGUAAAACAGAACCGGGCCAGAGGUUCAGCACGACUGGUAGAGUGCCUGUCGUACAAGCAGAAGACCCUGGGGUCGAUCUCCAGCGUCACAUAAACUAAGUGUGGUCGCACACACCUGCAACUCUAGCACUCAGGGGGACCCAGGCUCAAGGUUGAGCUUGGCUUCAGGAUGAGUUUUAUGUGCCUAGGUAUGUGUGUGCUCAUGUGUGUAUAUAUGCACACAUUUGUACAAGUGCACAUGUACAUGUGCAUGUAUGAGCAUAGAAACCAGAAGUCGGGACAUGCUCAAUUGCUCUUCGUCCUAUUUUUUGAGACAGGGUCACUUACUGAACCUGAAGCUCCUGGAUUUAGCUACACUGGCUGGCCACCAAACUCCAGGGAUCCUCUUGCUUAAGCUGGGCAUAGUGGCUCACAUGCUAGUACCUGAGACCCUGAGGCAGGAGGAUUGCCAUAGUUUCAGGCCAGCCUGGGUUACAGAGUGGUUGCCAGGCUAUCUCAGGGUAUAGAGUGAGACCUUGUCUCAAAAAAAAAUUGUUUUUCAAUAAAUAAACAAAUCAAUAGCCAAACUAAGAAGUUCCUAUUUAAGCUGUAUUCUGGUCAUGGCAGCAAGACAGCAUGAUGUUAACCAGAAACUUGGCAAAGCAAUACAGAAACUGCCUUCCAACUGUAUUGCUUUAACUCUUCUCUUCACCUUACAUAAGACGUAGGAGAAUGACCGUGUCAAUGUGGAAACUAGUCUUUAUUUUAACCCAAAUGCAAGUGCAGCCUUAGACUGUGGCUUUGGCCAGUGUGGUGGUUUGAAUGUGCUUGCCCCAUGGGAAGUGACACUGUUAGGAGGUGUGGCCUUGUUGGAGGAAGUAUGUCACUAUGUAGGUGGGCUUUAAGGUCUCCUAGUGCACAAGCUCUGCUCAGUGAGGAAGAGAGUCCCCUCCUGACUGCCUUCGGAUCAAAAUGUAGAACUCUGGCUCGCCCAGCACCAAGUCUGCCUGGACGCUGCCAUGAUUCCUGCCAUGAUGAUAAUGGACUGAACCUCUGAACCUGUAAGCCAACCCCAGUGAAAUGUUGUCCUUAUAAGAGUGACCUUGGUUGUAGUGUCUGUUCAUGGCAAUGAAACCCUACCUAAGACAGCCAGGAAGCAGGGCUCUGAGGUCCUGUGUGUCCACAGCCCUUGGCAAGGGUGGUGGGCACCCCGGCUUGCCUGGCACGUGCACAUGGGAUCACGCAGGGACCCUGGAGCGGCAACUUCCCACUGUGGGAGUUCACGCCAGGGCUUAUGCUCACACCCAACAGCGCAAUUUGAAAGUGUGCUCUCAGCUUCUGCUACUGCACGCACCCAGGAACACGAUCUGUUAAGCAAAAUGUCAUCCCAUACAGGGGCCCGUGCUAAUUAUAAUGUCAUUUUCCCCACUGAGGUGCAGAUAAUUAAAGGAGAAUAUUACAGUGUUUUCAAACUCCUGGAGUAAAUGAGAGGAACCUUGAAGUCACCUGCUGGAGAUGAGAAUUAAAGUGCUCUGAGCUGUCCCCCUUGGAGGUCACCUGACUGGAACUAGAAGAUCCUUAAGGACUGAACUAAGGUAUCCCAGAGGAGGAGGGGGGAGGGGGAGGAGGAGGACAGGAGGAGGGAGGAGAAAGAGGAAGGAGGAGGAGGGGAGCAAAGGAACUCAUGUUCAGCAGGCUCUGCUGUGCUCUACCUUACAUUGGGCUACACAGCAGGUGGCCCGCCUAUUGCAAUAGCUGUUAACUGGCUUCAUAGUGAACUGCUGUUAUCACCAAUUUACAUCUGCCAACUCUGAGAUGCUCAUGCCCUUACCCAAAGUCACAUGGCUAAUAAGACAGCUGGUGGCUUCUAGAGCUAAGUCCAGGCCUUACCGAUUCUAAAGUCUAAGCCUUGCCUGCUGGUGGUGGGUGCGUGGAGGGUAUACUUCUGGGGCACUCCUUCUGCAACCUUCUGCAGAGCUCCCUUGGGGACAGCCCUGGCUAUGGAAGAGGUCUCCCAUCCAGGUUGCCCAGCCUAAGCCUGUUGCUGAUCAGAGCCCAGGGCAUCUGCAGCGAGACGUCUGCCAACAUACCCGGCUGGUGUCACAGACGCUGACAUUUCGUGCCGUUAAAAAAAUAAUAAUAAAAUAAAAAAGAAAAACGUGUUCCCUGAACUUUUUGGAAAUAGCUGAGAUGUUUCACCACUUAUCAGUUGAAAAGAGGCCAAGAGCAGGCAGGAGGAAAACAAGCUGAGUGAUAGCCAGCUCCACCUUAGUGGUUGCUGUGUGGCCCUAGGCUCCAUCUCUGAACUUCUGCAUCUCUGUGCCAUUUAAGAGGACAGAUAUCUAAACAUUGUCAUGGAUAUUUCCAAGACCUGAGUAAAUACCUUUUAUUAUUGUGGUGGUUUGAAUGGGUAUGGCCCCCAUAGAUUCUUGUGUUUGAAUGCUUGGCCCACGGGAGUGUGUGGCCUUGUUGGAGGAAGUGUGUCACUGUAGGGGUGGGCUUUGAGCUGUCCUAGUGCCCAAUGUGGAUUCAAUCUCCUUCUGGCUGCCUUUGGAACAAGAUGUAGAACUCUGAGCUCCUCCAUCACCAUGUCUGCCUGCACACUACUAUACACCAUGAUGAUAAUGGACUGAACCUCUGAUGCUGUAAGCCAGCCCCAAUUAAAUGGUGUUCUUUUAUGUGAGUUGCCUUGGUCAUGGUGUCUCUUCACAGCAAUGAAACCUGAACUAAGACAACUGUCCUUGAUAAUUCAAGGUUAUGUGUGGCGAUGACCUGCUGGCUGAGCCUGUAUCACUGAUUGCUGAGAACGACACCCAAUGUCCAGAAACAGAAUGUCACUUAGCAGUGAUUACACCAUGUUUUUCCUGGGAAAAUCCGUACCUAAUAAUAGAGUGUUCUGCCCAGCCUUUGCCCCAGGAAAAUGAGACACACCAUGCUUUUCUCUGUAACUACCGGCCUCUUGCAAGCGGUACACCCCCCCCAUCUUGUUCUGAGUGCUGGCCCUCCAAAGCCACCCUUGCUACGCAUGAAGACCAUAUCUGAAGCACACAGAAGCCUGUGCCUUAUGCUAUGAUCAAUAGAAUCCUGACUUUCGGGUGGUCCAAUAAAAAUCUCAACCCAAAACUGAUCAGUACUCUUUAAAGAGCAGGAUUCAUGAACA